rnacentral:rRNA from 1 species
UACGAGGGGGGCUAACGUUGCUCGGAAUGACUGGGCGUAAAGGGCGCGUAGGCGGCUUACAUAGUUAGGCGUGAAAUUCCUGGGCUCAACCUGGGGACUGCGUCUAAUACAUGUAGGCUUGAGUGUGAAAGAGGGUCGUGGAAUUUCAAGUGUAGAGGUGAAAUUCGUAGAUAUUGGAAAGAACUCCGGUGGCGAAGGCGGCGACCUGGUUCAUUACUGACGCUGAGGCGAGAAAGCGUGGGGAGCAAACAGG